AACGCAAAACAGGGGAGCCGAAAGGCUGAGAGGAAGCGCACGCUUCGACCCGCGAACCUGAUUUGGGUAAUGCCAACGUAGGGAGUAAGAGGGAUGCAGCG
rfam:Oscillibacter valericigenes Sjm18-20 DNA, complete genome.